AUGCAGAGGCCGGUGGAUUUCAAGCUCCCCCACUUUUUCAACUACCCGCCCUACUUCACUUUGCAGCCUGUGAGAGAAACACGUGAAAAACAAGUGCAGCUAUGGAAAGAGCUGAUACUUGAUUACUGUAGAAGUCAAAAGAUGUAUAUAAUCUCCCUGGAAGAAGAUUUUCCAUUGUUCUCCAAUCCAAAGAUUGAGAGAUCUCUAAGCUAUGAAGCAAAGGAAGCAUUCCUUGCAGCUCUUGUUAGUGAAGGUCGCGCAGAGUGGAUUGACAAAGGUCACAAGAAGUGUCUCAUCCUUUGGCUGCGGAUUCAAGAUUGGGCUAACUACAUAUUAGACUUUGUUAAGGAAAAUGGGUUGGAAGUAACAACAAUUGAAGAUAUACGCUCUGGAAUUGAAACACAUGGGACCGGUAAGUAUACAAACUUGAUGGGAAAGGCGGUUAUCUUUAAGGGCACUUCAGCGGACGAUGAAGGCGUCAAAUUUUCUGUUUAA
rnacentral:rRNA from 1 species